UACGGAGGGUGCGAGCGUUUAUCCGGAAUUACUGGGUUUAAAGGGUGCGUAGGCGGCCCUGUAAGUCAGGAGUGAAAGUUUGCGGCUCAACCGUAAAAUUGCUUUUGAUACUGCGGGGCUAGAAUUAGGAUGAGGUCAGCGGAAUGUGGCAUGUAGCGGUGAAAUGCAUAGAUAUGCCAUAGAACACCAAUUGCGAAGGCAGCUGGCUAGACCUGGAUUGACGCUGAGGCACGAAAGCGUGGGGAGCGAACAGG
rnacentral:rRNA from 1 species